CUCCAAAGUUACACGUCACAAAUUAGGUUUGCAGAGAGUGGGAGUAAAAUGGGAUAGGAAAUGAGAGAAGGAGAAAAACGGACCUCCACAACGGCGUGAGCGAGAGUACGACGGCGUGGACGAGAGUACGGUGGUGAAGGCCGUUAUUGGCGGCGGCAAGUGGUUGUCGGAAUGGUGGAGGUUGCGCCGGUGAGGAUGGUGUUACGGUGGAUGGAAAUCGGGUUAGGUUUUUCUGAAUCGAGAGAGGGUCGUGGGAGAUCGUCGUGGUUGUGGCUUGAAGAUGGAACGCAGAACGACGAUGCUCGAGUCGAAAGAUGAAGAGCGGAAGCGAAUCAAUUCCGAAAAGAUUACAACUCUGAAGAGACUUUGAUGGAAUGGGAAAGUGGUUGUAUGAAAGCACACUUGGAGGCGCGCCGGUCUUGGGAGUUUUCAACCUAGCUACUUGAUUUUUUAUUAUUAGGAACCUGUUUCCAUCUGUAGCAAUUUUUUCACUAUAAUUACCUAGUUUAGUUUUUUUUAGACAAAAUGUGUGUUUUGACUUAUGUAACUUAUUGAAUUAAAAGUCUAAUGGCCACUAAUAAUUAUGUAUUCAA